rnacentral:rRNA from 1 species
GACGAACGCUGGCGGCGCGCUUAACACAUGCAAGUCGAACGGAGAAAAAGCUUCGGUUUUUUCUUAGUGGCGGACGGGUGAGUAACGCGUGAGGAACCUGCCCUACAGAGGGGGAUAACGACUGGAAACGGCCGCUAAUACCGCAUAACGCAGCGAAGAGACAUCUCUUUGCUGCCAAAGGAGAAAUCCGCUGAAGGAUGGCCUCGCGUCCGAUUAGGUAGUUGGUGAGGUAACGGCCCACCAAGCCCGCGAUCGGUAGCCGGACUGAGAGGUCGGCCGGCCACAUUGGGACUGAGACACGGCCCAGACUCCUACGGGAGGCAGCAGUGGGGGAUAUUGCACAAUGGGGGAAACCCUGAUGCAGCGACGCCGCGUGAGGGAAGAAGGUCUUCGGAUUGUAAACCUCUGUCUUCAGGGACGAAAGAAAUGACGGUACCUGAGGAGGAAGCCACGGCUAACUACGUG